rnacentral:lncRNA from 1 species
AAAAAAGAAGGGCUGGAAAUAUGCCAGCACUGAGGCAAGGCAGAAAUCACCGUAUCUGGUGUGAUGUCGGGGGCAGACUCUCUUUGCCAGCUCAAGCCAAGAUAAACAGUAAUUCUAAAGUCCCGGGGAUAAUGUUUGUUUCAGAAACAAGUCCCAGAGAGAGGUGGGACCAGCCUCUUCAUGUAAAGUUAGAACAUUCCUGAUAACAGAAGAAGAAUUUCUCCUCUAGGUCCCAGAAAAGCCUGUGGCUGCUCCAGUGUCACUUCACACAAGGUGAUAUGUGACAAAGCGGAAGUUGGAAGAGAAAGACACUGUCAUCUUGAACAACUGUGAUUAAAAUAUCUUUUGCAAAUUCUACAAAAACACAGGACCAUGUGAACACACUGCUGGGUCCCCUCCCAGGGCCUUGGCAGGGGCCUCUGCAAGUGACCUGAAGCUUUAGCUUCCUUAGCAGACACUGUGCCUGGGGGUGUGGGUGCUGUGGCGUGAAUGGGGGCAGCCAGCAGCAGAGAGUUCCCUCCAGCAGUCCUUCCUUGCACUUGGCUUCAAGUUUACCUUUACAUGUCUUGGAGAUAGUCCCAUAUUAGGACAAAUAGAGGUGCCUAAUUCUACCCGCCCCCCCCAAUUCUUUUGAAUGAUAGUAUUCUAUUUUAUGAACAUCCACAUUUAGAUCAUUUCCAACCUGCCAUAGUGAAUAAUGCUGCAAAUAAUAUCCUUGCUCAAAUGGAUAUUUAGCAUUUGUGAGAAUACAUCUGUAAAACACAUUCUCAGAAGUGUGACUGCUGGGUCACAGAGUAUGUCUAGUUAAAAUUUUGAUAGAUAUUGUCAGUUGCUAUCCUUGGAGGUUGUGAGAACAUGCCAGCAGGGUGCGAGAGUGGGCAAGACUGUGUGUUAGCAAACGUUGCUGAUUCUUGCAGCAAUUUUUUUUUUUUUUUUACCUCUGUAGGUUAAAAAAAUAGUACUUUGCUGUAGUUUUAAUCUGCAUUUCUCUUAUUAAAAGUGCAGUGGCACAUGCUUUUAUAUUUUAAGAACCAUAUAGAGGUCCCCUUUUGUGGACUGUUUUUAUACUUUGUCCAUUUUUCUACGGGUUAAUCUUUUUCUUCUUUAUUUGUAAGAGUUGUUUAAAUACUUAGGAAAUUAGCCCUUGAUCUAUGGUAUAAUUGGCAAAUAUAUUCUCCUAGCUUUUCAUGUGUCUGUUGACUCUGUUUACGGUAUUUAUGUUUCCAUGGGAAAUAAUUCUAUAUUUAUGUAACUAAA